rnacentral:rRNA from 1 species
AAGAGACAGCAGUAGCCGCGGUAAUACGGAGGGUGCAAGCGUUAAUCGGAAUUACUGGGCGUAAAGCGCACGCAGGCGGUCUGACAAGUCAGAUGUGAAAUCCCCGGGCUUAACCUGGGAACUGCAUUUGAAACUGUCAGGCUGGAGUCUUGUAGAGGGGGGUGGAAUUCCAGGUGUAGCGGUGAAAUGCGUAGAGAUCUGGAGGAAUACCGGUGGCGAAGGCGGCCCCCUGGACAAAGACUGACGCUCAGGUGCGAAAGCGUGGGGAGCAAACAGGAUUAGAGACCCGGGUAGUCCCUGUCUCUUAUAC